UACGUAGGGCGCAAGCGUUAUCCGGAAUUAUUGGGCGUAAAGAGCUCGUAGGCGGUUUGUCGCGUCUGCCGUGAAAGUCCGGGGCUCAACUCCGGAUCUGCGGUGGGUACGGGCAGAUUAGAGUGCAGUAGGGGAGACUGGAAUUCCUGGUGUAGCGGUGAAAUGCGCAGAUAUCAGGAGGAACACCGAUGGCGAAGGCAGGUCUCUGGGCUGUAACUGACGCUGAGGGGCGAAAGCUAGGGGAGCGAAUGGG
rnacentral:rRNA from 1 species